GGGUGCAAUGUAUGGGGAAAAUUUACGAAACCUUAGCCACCUCUGGCAAAGUUAGCCUGCGGUGGCGGCCGCCGCCAGAGGCGACACUUGUGAAUUAUUAUCCCCUAUUUUCAACAAUAAAUAGUCCCUGGAUUGGAUUCUUUCUCCUUUCCGGAAGUCACUUGUCACUGCACUGCAUUCAGGGACCAAAAAGAAAUCCAUGAUAUCGAAAAAAGUCUUUCUCUCCCGAUCGUUUGCACCACGUGUUGGACCAAAACAAGCCACUUUAGACCUUAGUACAUCCCGCAGGAUGUUCGCUUUUGCUUCUUCCGCCAUCACUACAAGAUAAUUGAACCUCAGGACAACAGGUUCCCGCCUGUAACUCCAACCCGCCAUUUUUUAGGGUUAGACCGCUUUCGCACGACAUGCCCCAGAUACACAAGAGAUUUCCUUGCCAGAAAAAAGGAUCUGAUGACCUAGUGCAAAACAGAAUUUGACGUCAGUGGAAGAAAGGGUCACUUGCCUUGUUUUGGGGUCCUCUUGAGAGGCAGAAGAACAGUGCACCACCACUAUUAGUGAUAAUAGAAUAAGAAUUCUGCAGGAGUCCAAAGCUCAUGCUACGUGUCGAAUUGGAAAGGACCAUGUGGCCGACUGAGAAAACCCUGGAGCUAAUUGAGUUACUUCACUCUGCACCGGCAUUAUGGAAUACAGCUACUGCAGAUUAUAGAAAUAAACAGAAGAAGGGGAAAAUUCUGAAGGAUAUUGCUGAUAAACUUUCUAUAGACAUCGGGAAAGCAGAAAAGAAGAUCAAGUCCCUCAGAGUGCAGUUCAGGAGGGAGCAUUUGAAACUGACAUCAUCGCUAAAAAGUGAAGUUCCCCAGAAGUGUGCAUGGUUUGGUUACGAGCCCCUGCAGUUUUUGCUGCAGGUCCAAGAGCCCAGAAGGAAACGGGGUAUAGACUCGCCACAGAGAGAGGUUGCUGAAGUUGAUCUUAAACAAGGAACUAACCCUGCCAUUCAGGUUACUGAACUGGAGUUUGAAGAAGAAACUGACACUAUUAUUGAAGGUCCUCAAGAUGAUACACUUCACACAACUUCCCGUCUUUGUCAUUCUUCGUCAAAUAAAAGAACUGCUAAUAAUGUGGACGAAGCCUUUCAGCUGAUGAAGACUUUUACAGAACAUAUCACUAAACGGGACGAGUAUCAAGUGUUUGGAGAAAAUGUUGCCCAUAAAUUAAGAAACUGUGAAAAAAGUAAGCAUGAGGUGGCAUUAGCACAAUAUAAGAUUAAUGAAAUUAUUUUCAAGUUAGAAGUGGGAGAGUUUGGGGAGGUUGUGAGACAAAUACAAAAAGAGGGCACAAUAUCACAAAAUGGAAGCUCAUCCUAGCUUCGCUAAAGGCCUCACUGAUGAAGCAGUGCAUCCACUUUCAAGGAUAUUUCCUUGUUUUAAAUAAAUUUUGGUGUGAUAAAUAUCCAAGAAAGUGUGUGAUCUAAUCAUUUUUAGGAAAUCCAUUAUAAAGGUGAUGAUUUAUAAUACUUAAAAUAAUUUCCCAUAACAUAUUACACUGAUGUCAGUGUACAUCAAUGUUAGGGUCAGAGGUUCGUUGUUCACUUACCAGGAAGUUAUCAGAAGCAUUGGAAUAUUGCGGAAGUAUGAAAAAUCUUGUAUACUUUACGUUCUUGGGUCUUAAGAUUUAUGGAUUAAGUGUUAUGAAAUGUAUAAAGAACACUUAAUUAUUAUUUUGAUGAAGUUAUACCAUUCAGAAACAAGAAUAAGUAUUCAUGCUGGUUGGCCUACUUUAUUUAUAAAGAAAAAGUAAUAUAAAUGUUAGUCACAAUGUUAUUGUUCAAACGCCGCCACAUAUUCACGAAUGUUCGUAUCACUAGCUCGUCUAUAGUUAUAUAGUCCAUGGAGUGCCACAAAUUGACGCCGACCUUUGUCCACAAGAAACAAGCCAUCUAGUUUCAUCAACAGCUGUUCUACACCAUCCUCUUGUUUCAAAACAUCCGGGUCCAAUUCCAACGAGGCAACUCUCGCUCUUCCCGUAAGUGACAGAUGUAUUGCUAAUGCUUGUUUUUUCUUUGGGAGAUCAGUUAACUCACACCAAAUUCCAAUGUCUCUUUUCCAUGUUUCAUACACCGAUUCGUCAUCCAGUUUGGGGGCCCACUUGUAAGACGCCAUUAUGCCCCCGGAACUACGCUCUGCUACUAGUGUUCACUCACUGGUGCAUGUAAAGAGAUGAAAGGUUCCAGCUGCGCUGAGCCAAACAGUUCGGCUCUGCUCCACUGGCCCCAUCAACAAAUGACGUCAUCAUGGACCAGUGAAGCAACCACUGAAGCAACAACACUCCUAAUUGCCAAUGAAGCACCAACAAUUGUGACAGAUUAUGAUAUCUUUCAAUCAUUACAUAUAAUAUUUGAUAUUCAGCAUUAUCUUAUUUUUGUAUUUUACCAGCAAUCCCCUACCGGAUGCAGGACUCACUUUGAAAAUGAAAAAAUGUAAAACCAUAGAUUUUUAUUAUACAGUUUUUCCUGUCAACUCACAAUCUAUCUGCUACAUCUUACAGUCAAUGAGAAAAUAUAAUAUGUGAUUUGUAAUAAAUUUUGAAAACGACAGUAAAAAUAAAGAAAAAAAAGUGCUAGGUUUUAUGGGAGAGGGGCAGGUAGAGAAGGCUUGAAAGUGCUCCGAAUAGCCUUACUAGAGUCAAAACAUCCCCAGUGAUGGUCCAUUGCCCUUAAACCUUAUAAGCCAUGGGUGUGUGUGGCCCAUGCUGUCAAAUUUAGAGUACAAUAUGCUUCAUAAAAGUAGAAAACAUUAAAAAUCUGUGAAAAUUUUUCCACCUGCCUCAUACCUGGCUACAACUCCACAGGCCUGGGUUUAAAUCCCGGCAUGGGCAGUCAGUGUGCAGCUCAUCCUGCUGUUCAUUCUCCCUUUCGGGCUGAUCAGUAAAUGGGUGCCAGGGGAAACCUGGGGAAGGUAAAGUGUGGUAAUCCCAGAUUUCACAUUGCUCUGUAUUUCAGGUUAAUUUGUUCUUACAUACCACAGUGUCAAAGGGCCAACGGUUCAGAGAUGAGCACUGCAAUCACACACAGCUAUAGCACAUGCACCCACCUUUACCUUUACCACCUGUUCCCAGUUUUCACACAGCUUCCUGGGGCUCCCUAUAUUUUUUCUGUCUUGAAAAAAAACAAGGGUUCUGAUGAACAGUUAAUAAAAGCAUAUGAAAGAAAAAUACUGAGGGGAAAGGGACAAUGGAUAGCAGCAGCAGGGAUGUCUGAUUCAUACUCAAGGGCACCGUUACUAGAAAAUGGGUUGUUAAGAACAGUAAUAAAAGCAAAUGAGAAGAAAAUACUAACAAGGAGAGUAGCACUGGGUAGCAGCAGCAGGGACAUCCAACUCAUCACCGUUGCCAACAACGGUUGGUUUGAAUAAAUGUGUGAGAAACCAUUGCUACUUCAAUCUUUGGUUUAGAUAAGAUAAUAAGCAUGCUAAAUAUGUAAAAAAAAGUACAUUAAUGACUGAAACAUCACAAUUUGUCACAACUUCUUUAAUUAUAAGGAAUAAUAUCCAUAUGACAAUUAUAAAUAAAUAAAAUACUUAUUUUCUCA